UUUACUGAUUGCAGUGAUGCGCUUUUCAAUUUGAUAUGUACUCGAAGGAUUAUGUAAGCAGAGCCCGUUGUUGAUUAAAUGUGAAGUGCUACAAAGUUGCAAUGGGAGGCACCAGCCGCCUGAUGGGAGACGGACGGGGGAAGCCGGAGGUGGGCGCUCCUCGAGGUUGCCAGAGCUCACCAUGGAGGAGCAGCCGGGCCUGCUCCUCUCGCCUUCCCGCGUGCUGAAUGGAAAGGCCGCCGGAGCUCUCGUCCUUUCCCGCGGCCCGGAGACGGGAUCUGCAGCGACGAGAGUUGCCUCGCGCGCGUGAGGAUGAAGUUGGGUCCGUGCCUGGUUGUGGUCAAUCUCCUGAACUUUUGCUUUGGUCUUUGGAUGGCCGUUGGAUCUGAACGAAGGGUGGAUGUGGGGGUGCAAGGCAAGUUGUGCCUUGUGACUAGCAAGGCACUGGAUCUCUGUCCGGUUUGGGGACGCUUUGGAGAUGCUCUUAUGCCUCUAUAAAUGGUAUAGACCGCCGCCGCGGCGACCUCCCUCCGCCACCGCUACCGUCCGCCGCCGCCGUGACCGUCCGCCGCCCCGACGCCUGCGUCCCCACCGGAUCCCAUGCUCCCGCUACUCUACGGCCGCCACCAUUGCGGGCUCCGCCGCCGCGGGAGGUAAGGGAAGCGGCGCGGGCGCCCGCCACCACCGCUGGUCCUCCGCCGACCGCGGGAGGGAAGGGAGGUGGCGUGCCCGGCCGCCACCACCGCGCGUCCUCCGCCGUCCGGGUCAGGUUCGCCGCCCCCGUCAUCUGCACCACCUCUCCGUCGUCUUCCGGCCGUGGGUGGUCGGGGCGGCCGCAGGUGGACGCAGGGGAAAGGGCCCCUCCUCCUCCUUCGCAGCUUCGGCCGUGGUGGCCGCAGUACGAAGUGGCCGCUGCCGACGGCGCGCGCCACGGCCAUGGUCUUUAGCAGCAGCUCCAUGGCGUCGAUCUGGAGCGCGAGGGCAGCAGAGGAAGCGAGGCCCCGAGCUCCUGUGUGACCGUCCUCUCCCAGAGCUCCAUCCGGACCGCCAUUUUCCCCUCCCCCAAGAUGCACUUCCUCCAUCUUGUGUGCAUAGGCCCUCACGCACACAUGGACAUGGCUACUGUGUAGAGCUACUCCAUAGUUGAAGAAAACAGUCCCAAAGGCCAGGUUUGCACAUCACUUGUUUGUGUAAAUGCUCAAUGAGCAGUACUACUCAGGGAACGGCAACAUGAUAAACAUAGGAGAAAACCCAAGGGCUAUUUCAGAAGGAUGAUGAGAAGGUGCAGUGUUAACUAUGGGUUGCAAUAUUCUUCAUGGAAUUUUGGGCCUUGUGAAAAUAAUGAUUCUUGUGUGAAAUCUGCUCCCUUAUAUUUAUUCAGAGCAUGUAGCACUCACCUGGAUUCUAUGGAUACAAUGUAGAUCCUUGUAACUAUGGUAGUACUUCGCCAGGUGGCGCAUAUGAGCAUGAGUACAACUAUGAUAAGCUUCCUUGGGACCAUUGACAUCAUGUGCGGCGAGUGGUUUCUAUAACCACUACGAGGACCAAUUUGACAUGAUUGACUUGUUGGACAAUGAGAUUGUCAAGCUCGAGAACUUCCCUUUGAUGUCGUUUCCCUUCACAGAAGAAGUUCUGAAGAUAGUGUUGUCAUACUCUGUGGGCAUGGCUGUUGCUUAUUAUUCACCACCGUUAACCAAUUAGGUACAAUGUCCAUCUACUGAUAUGCUGCUACAAGAAUGUUAUCUUUCAAGACAACAUCCUUGAGAUGUUGGCAUGUCAAUUACCCAUUCUAGAAAUAUCCAACAUGCCAAACAGGUAUGAUGGGUGGAGUACUAACGCUAACAUGGCAUCACAUAGACGUUCUAUACAAAAACGCUGAAAUAUCGCAGGGAACAAUAUUACACUAUGGCUUCUCUUUGCUUCUCGAAUACACGAUGUAGCAUUCCGUGUUUUACUUGCUUUCCUGUAAAUACGAUUUAAUACCUAUCUUUACCAAUCAUAUGCUACUCAGAUGUCCAGAAUAGCCUCUAGAUCAGAUUGACAUGAAUCUCUCAUGUAACUUGGAUAAUUUACCGACCAUAUUCUACUUGAGUAAUAUUACCAUAGUUCUCUCUUCGAAUAUAUAUAUAUACUUUCCCUAUUUCUUGCUGCAAGCACUUAUGAAGAUAUGUAGUCCUAAUAUGGUUUGGUGCCGGUUUGGUUAAGUAAAGCGUGAUACAGAUAUAAUAUAAAUCAUUCAGUGCUCUCAGUUGGGGUUUACCUUUGUUAUUUUUGCUCAAUGGUCUUGUGUGUGGGGAAGUAGAAAUAACUUUUGGUGACCUGACAGGUGUUUUGCCCUUUUUUUUAAUUGCAACUGCCCUUUUGUAUGCAAAUAAGAUCAACAUUUGUCUUUCAUCACAGAAUUAAUCCUCCACUUUAGUGAAGUUCAUAGAUAUAUCUGACAGAUAGUCUCUUAAUUCUUAACUCUUCAUGCAAACUUUCAUUGUAGUUCAUGGAGAAGUUCACUCUUUUAAUCAAGCACUGCUCGAACUAAAGCACUUUUAGAGGCAUCUUGCUUAAGAUCCACAUAUAUUUAUGUGUAUCAUUUGUGUUUAAAUAACUAUCUGAAUAUAUGCACUGACAUUUUGUAAGCUGUCAGUUUGGUGUGCUGAGUGUUGGUCAGGUUUCCAUUACGUUUGAUGCUGACUGUAUAUCAAAUCAAAAAACAACCAUGUACCAGUAUCUUAGGGGUAUUACUGUAGUAAUAAUGUGAACGUGUAUGAUCAGUUUCCCUCUGAUUUGGUAUCAUUCCCAUGGAUAUUAGAAUUUGGAGUAAUGUGAAUGUGUGUGGUCCAUUCUCUACUAUGUGUGCCAAUCUGGCAAAGAAAAGAAGUGGAAGAAUCUCACCGAAGAGUUUCAUGAAGGAGAACAAGUGAUCUAUGCUGUACACACAUAAAAUAUAUAUUGGACGGUUCAUCCAUGCUAUUGGAAUAUUAGCAUGUUUCCUUUCCUCGCCAAGCACUAGAUGACCUGCUGCUUUUAGUACUGUAUAAAGUUAUACAUGAGCGAUAGUUGGCAGAUGGACUUCAAACAGACACACUUUGAUCAAUACUCUCCAGAUUUUUAUACAUGGGUUGGAAUUGUUGGUGUUCCACUGGACUAAUGAAGAAGACCAAGGUGAUAGAGGACAACUGGGUUCCAGUCUGGGAGGAGUUCACCUUGAUCCGUGUGCAGGUGCACAAGUACAACAUGUCGGAGAAGGACAAAUUGGCACAAGAGGGGUUGAUUCUGCUUUGGUUUCAAAUCCACAGUGUGCACAGGCUGUUGUUGGUGGUGUUGAGCAUGAGGUAUGUUCCAAUGAUACUUUCUCUAGCAUUCCUCGUGCUUUUAUUGUAUUUUAUCCCACCAUAUACAAUUUUUAUUGAUGUAUUAUCUGCUUCAAAUUGCUAAUAAAAAUGCUUCAGGUCAAAGGUUAGGCAAUAUAUGCUUUUGUGACUUUGGUGGAUGGUAUUCCUUAUAGUGAAGAACUAUGAAAAGGCCACAUAGCAGUAGUCUAAAAUCAGGUAUAUCAAUGGAUUACACCCUUUCAAUAAAAAGUCUGAAAGAAGUUGCAUUAUUUUGUAGACAACCAGAGCAAAGGCUGCUGCUGAUUUCUGGGUUCCAGGAAUAGGAAGGAAUGCUUAUGUUUAAAAGGAUCAGGUCCACAAUACUUUAAUAGGUUGAAGUUGUAGGUUGACACAUCAGAAAGCACCAUGAGAGUAUGCAAGGUCCUCCAUUCUAAUGGCUUUGGUGAUCCAUCUUCUCAAAGCAAAGCCAUAGACCAUGGAUCUGUUCUCCGCUCUAAUGUGACAGCAACUGUCAGUUGGCAAGAGAGCAGGUCGGGACGGGGCUACCUUCUGGACGGUUUGGAUUUAGAAUGCCCAAACCCUAAUUCUCUGUUUAACCCCUUUGCCUCAUUUAUAUGUAUUCUUGAGCUCCUCAGUUAUAUUAGCUAUUUAGCUUAGACACCAUCUGAGUAAACAUGGUCCAAGUGUUAUUUGUUAAAUACUCAUAUUGGUUUUCUGUCUUCCUCAAUACAUUGUCUCAGUUUGACCAAGCAGAAGCUCUCAAACAAUGCAGCAUACAUGCAUGCCCUGUAAUGGUCAGAAAAAGAGUAGAACUAAACAUAUUAUUGCAAUAUGGGCUAUUUACUAUGGUGCGGCCUUUUAUUCUAUUGUCUUCGUCGCGCUGUGGUUGUUGAUGCACCAUGGCCGACGAUUUUUCUCUCUUUGGAUUGAAGGGAGAGAAGUGGAAGAGGGGGAGAGGAGGAGGUGGACGAGGAGGAGAGGAGAAGGUGGAGAAGUGGAAGAGGAGGAGAGAAGAAGGUGGAGAACUGAAAGAGUAGGAGGAAAACGUGGAGAAGAGGAAGAAGCGGAGGGGAUAAGGUGGAGAAGGGGUAGAUGAGGGAAAAGUUUGAAACUAGAGAAAGGGAAUUUUUUAGAUUUGAUUUUUUUUAACCGAAGUCUAAAACCUGAAAAGAACUCUACUUUCCUUUUCGUACGGGCAUUGAAAUUGUAAAAUUUUAUGU